rnacentral:pre_miRNA from 1 species
UGUGAAAAAAUUCAUUCGUUUUUAUUGUUAAAAUUUAGCGUGGUUGAUGAAUUAACCAAACAGUUACACGUGUCACAUGUACCAUAUUCUGACAUACAAGAACCAGUUUUUAAUAGUGGAUUGGAUGAAAUUUUUAACA